UACGUAGGGUGCAAGCGUUAAUCGGAAUUACUGGGCGUAAAGCGUGCGCAGGCGGUUGUGCAAGACCGAUGUGAAAUCCCCAGGCUUAACCUGGGAACUGCAUCCGAUACUGGAUGGCUUGAAUUCGGGAGAGGGAUGCAGAAUUCCAGGUGUAGCGGUGAAAUGCGUAGAUAUCUGGAGGAAUACCGGUGGCGAAGGCGGCAUCCUGGACCGACAUUGACGCUGAGUGAGCGAAAGCUAGGGGAGCAAACGGGG
rnacentral:rRNA from 1 species